rnacentral:rRNA from 1 species
AGAGUGAACGCUGGCGGUAGGCCUAACACAUGCAAGUCGAACGGCAGCACAGUGGUAGCAAUACCAUGGGUGGCGAGUGGCGGACGGGUGAGGAAUACAUCGGAAUCUACCUUUUCGUGGGGGAUAACGUAGGGAAACUUACGCUAAUACCGCAUACGCCCUUUGGGGGAAAGCCGGGGAUCGCAAGACCUGGCGCGGAUAGAUGAGCCGAUGUCGGAUUAGCUAGUUGGUGAGGUAAUGGCUCAACCAAGGCGACGAUCCGUAGCUGGUCUGAGAGGAUGAUCAGCCACACUGGAACUGAGACACGGUCCAGACUCCUACGGGAGCAGCAGUGGGAAUAUUGGACAAUGGGCGACAAGCCUGGAUCCAGCCAUACCGCGUGGGUGAAAGAGGCCUUGGUUAGUAAACGUCCCUUUUGGUAGGAAAAGAAAAGCAAAGUCGGUUAACUACCCGGUUUGUUACGUAGGUAACCGGUUAACCCCAAAAAGG